UAUGCAUUCUUAAUUUGUUUUGAAAGACAGACGUUCCUUUUAAAAAACCAUUUGGAAAAGAUUGCAAAUUACACGGAAUGUCAAUUUUGGAGAGAAUGUGGUGUGUAUCACUGAGAAUUUCUGCAUUAAAAACAAAAAUGUUUCUUUAACCCAGCUGGCUUCUUUAAAAGACAAUACAAAUCUAUCCUACAAGAAGAAAACAGAAGAGACAGUUGGAGUUAUAUCAACAGUAAAAGCAAUGAUGAUUAAGGACUUCUUUCAAAUUGAGAGAAUGGAAAACAGACUCAGGUUGUAGUAAAGAAAUUUAAAAGACACUGUUUACAAGAAAAAAUGAAUUUUGUUUGGACUUCUUUUACUCAUGAUCUUGUGACAUAUUAUGUCUUCAUGCAAGGGGAAAAUCUCAGCAAUGAUUACUCUUUGAGAUAGAAGAACUGCAAAGGUAAUAAUACAGCCAAAGAUAAUCUCUCAGCUUUUAAAUGGGUAGAGAAACACUAAAGCAUUCAAUUUAUUCAAGAAAAGUAAGCCCUUGAAGAUAUCUUGAAAUGAAAGUAUAACUGAGUUAAAUUAUACUGGAGAAGUCUUAGACUUGAAAUACUACUUACCAUAUGUGCUUGCCUCAGUAAAAUGAACCCCACUGGGUGGGCAGAGGUUCAUUUCAAAUACAUCUUUGAUACUUGUUCAAAAUAUGUUCUUUAAAAAUAUAAUUUUUUAGAGAGCUGUUCCCAAAUUUUCUAACGAGUGGACCAUUAUCACUUUAAAGCCCUUUAUUUAUAAUACAUUUCCUACGGGCUGUGUUCCAACAACCAUUUUUUUUCAGCAGACUAUGAAUAUUAUAGUAUUAUAGGCCAAACUGGCAAACUUCAGACUGAACAUGUACACUGGUUUGAGCUUAGUGAAAUUACUUCUGGAUAAUUAUUUUUUUAUAAUUAUGGAUUUCACCAUCUUUCUUUCUGUAUAUAUACAUGUGUUUUUAUGUAGGUAUAUAUUUACCAUUCUUCCUAUCUAUUCUUCCUAUAACACACCUUUAUCAAGCAUACCCAGGAGUAAUCUUCAAAUCUUUUGUUAUAUUCUGAAACAAAAGAUUGUGAGUGUUGCACUUUACCUGAUACACGCUGAUUUAGAAAAUACAGAAACCAUACCUCACUAAUAACUUUAAAAUCAAAGCUGUGCAAAGACUAGGGGGCCUAUACUUCAUAUGUAUUAUGUACUAUGUAAAAUAUUGACUAUCACACAACUAUUUCCUUGGAUGUAAUUCUUUGUUACCCUUUACAAGUAUAAGUGUUACCUUACAUGGAAACGAAGAAACAAAAUUCAUAAAUUUAAAUUCAUAAAUUUAGCUGAAAGAUACUGAUUCAAUUUGUAUACAGUGAAUAUAAAUGAGACGACAGCAAAAU
rnacentral:lncRNA from 1 species